ACAGAGAGUGCAAGCGUUAAUCGGAAUUACUGGGCGUAAAGCGUGCGUAGGUGGGUAUUUAAGUCGGAUGUGAAAUCCCUGGGCUUAACCUAGGAAUUGCAUUCGAUACUGAGUGUCUAGAGUAUGGUAGAGGGAAGUGGAAUUUCCGGUGUAGCGGUGAAACGCGUAGAUAUCGGAAAGAACACCAGUGGCGAAGGCGGCUUCCUGGACCAAUACUGACACUGAAGCACGAAAGCGUGGGGAGCAAACAGGA
rnacentral:rRNA from 1 species